UACGGGGGGAGCAAGCGUUGUUCGGAUUUACUGGGCGUAAAGGGCGCGUAGGCGGCCUGUGCAAGUCGGUUGUGAAAUCUCCGGGCUUAACUCGGAACGGUCAACUGAUACUGCUCGGCUAGAGUGCAGAAGGGGCAACUGGAAUUCUUGGUGUAGCGGUGAAAUGCGUAGAUAUCAAGAGGAACACCUGCGGCGAAGGCGGGUUGCUGGGCUGACACUGACGCCGAUGCGCGAAAGCUAGGGGAGCGAACGGG
rnacentral:rRNA from 1 species